rnacentral:lncRNA from 1 species
ACCAUAUGAUCUGGCAUCAACGAUCUAUUCUUGAAGCUAUUGGUGCUUUCAGUACAAAGGAUCUUCAUGUACUGGAUUUGAGUUUUGUCCAUCAGUUACUAUGUCUUGGGAAGUGUCAUUGGGCUAUCUACGUCAUUCUGCAUAUGCCACAUCUGGAUGAUGCCCCUUACAUCCAUGAAAAGUUAAUCAGGGAAAUUUUGUCACAGUAUUGUGAGAUAUGGAGCAAAGAUGGGGCUCAGAGGCAAUAUAUUGCAGAACUUGGUAUACCAGCAGAAUGGAUACAUGAGGCUCUGGUUAGUAGCAAUAUCGUAACUUCCUGCUAAUUAUCUGACCUGCAGUCAAUGUGUUUUCUUUGAUGAAAAUAUGUCUAACCAUUGAUUACAAAUAUUUAUGAAUGCCACUACGAGAACACUAAGCAUGAUCCUGCUUAGCUGACAAUACCUAUAUGCAGGCUCUUUAUCACGAAUAUUAUGGAGAUCGACAAGGUGCACUGGGAAAUUAUAUUCAAUGCGGCAAUUGGAAUAAAGCUCAUACUAUUUUCAUGACAUCUGUUGCUCAUUCUUUGUUUCUGUCAUGUAAGUCUUCCCUACAAUGCACUAAACAAUAGUUGUAAAGACCCGAUUCAAUGUUUCACUUUCCUACCUACAUAAAUAUGCAGCUAAACCUACUUGGCUACUCCUCCAGAACCUAAUCAAAUGAAGAUUCUUGUGAAUUUCCAUGCUAUUCUCUUAGUUACACUUUCGUUCAUAAAAAUAUGUAUGACUGAGGAUAUCUUAUCAAUUUUGUACUGUUUCUGUUAAUAAACAUUGCAUGAGUUUGUAAUUGCUUGUUUCUUCGGCAUAUGGUUCAGCAAAACAUCAAGAAAUCUUUGACAUUACAAGCGCUUUGGAGAAUCACAGAUCUGAAAUUGCUGACUGGGAUGUUGGGGCUGGAAUAUACAUAGAUUAUUUCGUUAUAAAAAACUCUAUGCAAGAAGAAAGUACUAUGGACGAUGAUUCAGUAAGUAUUUUUACCCAUCAAAGUUUACCUGAAUAUUUCAGAGUCGACACAAUCUUACUUUAUCUUCCAGGACACACUUGAGGGGAAAAAUGAAUUGUGCAAGAGUUUCUUUGAUCGAUUAAAUGAGUCGCUGAGUAUCUGGGGAAGCAAAUUACCCAUUGAGGCAAGGUAAGAUGGUAUCCGUUGAUGUAAUAGAUCUACAACCUGCUAGUAAUCAAAUAUUGAUGUUUACAUGAAAUUGUUUGGACUUUCAUGUCAUGUUUGAACUGAAGUAAUCCUGCUUCUAAGAAACAUAAUUUUGAUUUGCAGUGUUGACAAGUUCCCAUAUAAUUAGAUUCUUUGCAUAGAGCCACAUAUUAAUUUGCACCUGAACUGUAUAACCCAUUUCCAAAUCCAAGCUUCUUAGUCACAAUGGAAAUCGUGGUUAUUCCUUACACGAUUUGGCUGAUUCUUUAAAUCCAUCAACACAUACUGGUAUUCUUAUUUAUUUUAAAACAAAGUUUGAGGCCCAUUCUCAUGCUUGUGUAACUGCGGCAGGGCAUGCUUCUCGAAGAUGGCAGAGGAGCUCUGUGAGCUUCUAAUGAGCUUCCCCGGCGAUGGCUCGACGCCAGAUCUCUUCAUGGGCUGCUUCCAGACGAUGCUUGAUGCCCCUGUCCCCGAUGACCACAGGGCGUCCUACCUGCAGGAGGCAGUCUCUGUUUUCACCAACAUACUUUGCGAGUACUCAUCCUAGUCCUAUGGGACUCAUGGCAUAGUUCCUACGGAUGAUCCAUGACAUAGUUCCUAUGGUGCUCAAGUCAGUCACGGAAUCCGGGUUGCGCAAGAGCUCUGAAUUGGCACACCACGCAUUUGGAACAAGUUACAGAGAUUCCCAUGUCUGAAGCUGAGGGAAAUGUAGAACAUUGCCAUGGUCGGUGCAGACAAUUGCCCACCCCUGCAAACGCAUGAGGAAACCUGACGAUAUUUUUCUGCACGCGUGCCACUUUUCUUGUAACCCGUGUGCCGCACCCAUUCGGGCAUCGUCUUUUUUGUUAUUAUUGUUACGUAGAACAAUAACUCAUGUAGGGUUGUAGUAGAGUGUUUGUGUGUGUUGAAAUGCCAAAGAGUCGGUUGUAGAUUUAUCGCAGGCAAUACGUAGGCUGAUCUUGUUGUUUUGUGGCGUGCGGAUACUGCUUUUCGCGAACCAUGUGAAAGCUGUGGUUUGUUCAAAGGAGAGCGACGAGUGCUUUCGGUGUAAUACCGGGGACGGUAGCAGCACAGCCCACAUGCGUGGGUCACCGGUUUUCGCUCGUUCUCCGUAUGGUGUGUGUCAAGUAGUAUUUCUCAUCGGCCAAAUCAUUGGAGGAAAUGGUUUAUCUUCACGGCAGGAGACAGCGACGCGUUCGCUUCCCACUCACAAGGCACCGUACACCUUCUUCCUUUUCGUAAUAGCAUCAAGUACGGCCGGCUCGAGAAUUCGUCGUCAUAGUCAUCGUUCUAAAACAAAAGGGAUUUCGUCGGUACGUGCUUGCCGUCGUGUACUCCAAGUCGCCAACAACCGGAAGAUAAAACAAGAUUUGUGCCCGUGACUGUGCAGGGGCCUGGAAGAUACAUAUCUCCAACGCCAAUAGCCCCGUGCCUUGCCACCACGUUUGCCACGUCGGGUUCCGGCGACGGCGAGGGUCGCGAACCCACCACCGGCCAACGGGAUUUUAUAGAAGGAGACCGACCACCGAAAACAGCUCCCGCAGCAGGUGGCGCCCAACGGCACCCGGUAAUAAACAAAACCGGCGAUGGCGACACGAACCCACGACGCAGAGUCUUAUCCGGACCGAGCAGAGCACACCGAGUAGCGAGACCCGUCCCGGUAUCCUAUAAAAUGCACCUCACAUCGGAGGAUCCAUCCACAGCAUACAGAGCAAACCAAAGCAUCCAGGUUCCAGAGCAGCAGCAGUUUCGAGCUGAGUUGAGUGUUCUUGGGGUUGCCAAUGGCGGACAUCGCGAUGCUGGUGGCGGAGGAGCACGAGAAGAGGCUGAAGCGAGGGGCGCCCCGCGUCGUCGCCGCCGCGGCCGCCGACGAGGAGGAGGAGGCGUCCAAGGNNNNNNN